UGGCGGACGGGUGAGUAACGCGUGGGUAACCUGCCCUGUACAGGGGGAUAACAAUCAGAAAUGACUGCUAAUACCGCAUAAGACCACAGCACCGCAUGGUGCAGGGGUAAAAACUCCGGUGGUACAGGAUGGACCCGCGUCUGAUUAGCUGGUUGGUGAGGUAACGGCUCACCAAGGCGACGAUCAGUAGCCGGCCUGAGAGGGUGAACGGCCACAUUGGGACUGAGACACGGCCCAAACUCCUACGGGAGGCAGCAUG
rnacentral:rRNA from 1 species